AGAGAAUUGUGUGAGUGGCCUAUACAGACUGUCUAGAGUAUAGUUAUGGAUAAUCUCCAUCAUGGGUUCGAAUCCCAUAUUCUCUG
rnacentral:tRNA from 1 species